rnacentral:rRNA from 1 species
AUGUGUGAGAUCAGCUCCAUGGGAUUUUUAGACCUAUCAAACAACAAACUUUCUGGGGAGGUUCCAGCUUGUGUUUUUACUAAUUCUCCCGGGCUAUUCAUCUUGAAGGUCUCAAACAACAAGCUUGGUGGUCCGAUUUUUUGUGGGAUGAAUAAUCUGUCAAAUAUAUAUGAAUUGUGCUUGGAUGGUAACAAAUUUAAAGGGACAUUGCCUCAUGAUCUGGCAGGAAAGUUUCUACAGGUCAUUGAUUUGCAUGACAACGAGCUGUCUGGGGAACUCGAUACGGCAUUUUGGGAUCUGCCAUCUUUGUCAGUCCUGAAUCUUGCUGGAAACCGUAUAACUGGAAAAAUUGAUCAACACAUUUGUGGCUUCACAGGCAUUCGCCUUUUAGAUCUGUCGCGCAACAACCUUACAGGAUCUGUACCAAACAGUUGCUUCAUAGGGCUGAAUUUUCUUAAUCUUACUGGGAACUCCUUAUCUGGUGAUAUCUCUUUUCCCCUUUUCAACACAUCAAGUCUGAUUGCUUUGGAUAUGAGACACAAUCAGUUCAUGGGCAACCUCAAUUGGGUAAGUUACCUUGACAACAUUAGGCUACUUUCGCUGGGUGGAAAUAAGUUUGAAGGGCAAAUCACUCCAACCCUGUGCAGACUCAUGUACUUGAGGAUACUUGAUUUUUCACAUAACAAGCUUUCAGGUUCUCUGCCAGCAUGUAUUGGUAAUAUCUCUUUCAAAGGUGAUAGGGUCGAUGCAAUUUUUCAGUCAGUAUCUGAGAGUAAACUGUACUUUGGUGGAUAUGACUUAAGUGGCUUCACCUUUGCUACCAAAGGAAAUAUUUACACGUACGGUCGCGAUUUCUUCGAUUCAAUGGCUGGAAUCGACUUAUCUGCAAACAUGUUGCAUGGAGAAAUUCCCUGGGACCUAGGGAACCUAAGCCAUGUCAAAUCCCUUAACCUGUCAUACAAUUUCUUUGUUGGCCCGAUCCCGCCGACCUUGGGCAGCAUGGAGGAGAUAGAAAGCUUGGACCUCUCCCACAAUGAACUGAGUGGACUAAUACCUUGGCAGUUAAAUCAAUUGUCAUCAUUGGGGGCAUUCUCUGUGGCAUACAACAACUUGUCAGGAUGCAUACCAAACUAUGGACAGCUCGGUUCAUUCAGCAUGGACAGCUACCUAGCCAACACCAACCUUCACGAUAUUACUCAGGGGAAUACUUGUGCUGCUCCCGGUCCAGAUCCUGCUGUGGGGAAUGAUGUGGAAGAGACGCCCAAUGACCUAGUUCUAUAUGUUGUCACAACUGCCGGUUUUGUGUUGACAUUUUGGGCCACCGUUGGGUUCUCAUUUUGCCAUCCUUACGGAAGAUCUGUGAUGCUCAAGCUGUAG